rnacentral:rRNA from 1 species
AUCCGAUCGAGUGGCGGACGGGUGAGUAACGCGUGAGGAACCUGCCUUGGAGUGGGGAAUAACAGUUGGAAACAGCUGCUAAUACCGCAUGAUGCAUUUAGACCGCAUGAUCUGAAUGCCAAAGAUUUAUCGCUCUGAGAUGGCCUCGCGUCUGAUUAGCUAGUUGGCGGGGUAACGGCCCACCAAGGCGACGAUCAGUAGCCGGACUGAGAGGUUGGCCGGCCACAUUGGGACUGAGACACGGCCCAGACUCC